CAGCAAAGCUUGCUGUUUGAAAAGACCUGUAACUGGACUUUGCUAAAAUAAGUCCAGGUUCUUUAUUUUCCUUUAAAGGUUAAAAGCAUGUACUGCAAUAUUGUCUAAUGAGGUUUUUCAAGUAUAUGGAUUACCAGAAAGGUGUGAGGUGAUUAAAAGAGCAAGUUCAAACUAAAGAUUAGUUAUGUCGGGCUUGUUUCCAUUCAUUUUAAAAAAAGAAGAAGCUAAUGUUAGCUUUUAAAGUUUAAUUUGUACAUCAGUGUCAAGAUUUAUGCUGCUGGAUAUAUUGAUAAUUCAAAUUACAUUGGUAUAUAUGAGAAUAUUUGGUUUAUGCAAUCUGGGAGUUCUAAUUACAGUGAACGGCAAGCCUUUGAAUUUGUCAUGUCAGAAGGGAGGAGGAGGAACUUAUUUUGAAGUCUUGCCUUCACUGGGAAAGGAAACAUUGAGAGUAUCUGUGUAAUCUUGUACAGAUGAGCUGGCAUCAUAUUGCUUUGUAAGGAUUGGUAUUUGAGUCCUCAAGUGGUGGUGGGCAUUGCUGCUAAAGAUUCUCUGAAAUAAGGAAGGAAAACAAAUCCAGAAAUGCUGUAUGAAAACCCUAGUUACAUUUAUUGCUAUCUGAUGCACAACAGGUUUUCUACUCCUUAAAAGUGUAUAUCAGGUUUAAUUCCAUUACAAGAUUAUGCUCUUAAAAAUAUCGGUUUGUGCAGAUAAAUGAUCCUUUAACGCAUUAUCUCUUCAGAAAUUCUUUGAGGAUUUCGUGGAACAUUUGCAAUAGUUUUCUAUACAGAUUACUUAAGAUUUAUUUUUUUUUAAACAAAAGUUUUUUACAAUGGCACUACUGCAGUGAAACUAAGAAUAUGGCAUGGAUCAGUUCUUGGUGACUGUAUUGUCAGCAUCAUUAAACCUCUAGUAACAUUACAUGUACUUGGACACUUAAAAACUUCCUUAGAGAUCUUCAAAGGAGAAAUAAAAAAAUUGGUAAUCAGUAUGGGAUUUAAAAAUCCUUGACUUUUGUUUACAAUUUUGUUGUAGAAACAGGUUGGCUUGCCCUGGGCUGGAGAGCCUGGGGGCUAAACUAGACCUGAUUACAAGAGGAGCCUCACCUGAGGGGAAUUAGGUGCUUUAAUAUAAGACAGCAGGAAGCUGCAGGGAUGUGUUUGGUCGAGAAAGACUUAAAUAUCUUAGGAUGAAUAUUUGAACAACAGAUACUCUGCUUCAGAAUGUCCAUCUGUGCAUCUUCUCACAAGGAGUUUUCUCAGUUACUGCCAAUUCAGGAUACUGGACGUAGUAAAAUAGAAAUUAAAAGCUCACCUUCUGGCAUCAGCUCUCCUGUUUAUAGCUGCAGUCAGUCUUCUCUGACAAUGCAACAGAGUCCGAUUUAUAUUCCUUCAUCUUAUGUGGAAAACAGACACGAAUAUUCUGCAAUGGCUUUCUAUAGUCCUGCCAUGAUGAAUUACAACAUUCCUAGCAAUUUCAGUGAUUCAGAAAGUGCAUCUGUAAGGCAGACAUCAAGCCCAAAUGUUUUAUGGUCUGCUCCUGGCCAUAUUUCACCUUUGACAUUACAUUGCCAGUCAUCACUUUUAUAUGCAGAGCAACCAAAGAGCCCAUGGUGUGACGCAAGACCAGCGGACCAUGCACUGCCUAUGAACAGAGAGACAUUAAAAAGAAAAUCUAAUGGCAGUGAUUGUACAAGUCCUGCUGUGAACAGUCCUGGUUCAAAAAGAGAUGCACACUUCUGUGCAGUCUGCAGUGAUUAUGCUUCAGGAUAUCACUAUGGCGUUUGGUCUUGUGAAGGAUGUAAAGCAUUCUUUAAAAGAAGUAUCCAAGGACACAAUGAUUACAUCUGUCCAGCUACCAAUCAAUGCACAAUAGAUAAAAAUAGGCGUAAAAGCUGUCAGGCGUGUAGACUACGGAAAUGCUGUGAAGUAGGAAUGAUGAAAUGUGGUUCAAGAAGAGAACGUUGUGGGUAUCGUAUCAUACGCCGUCAUCGUAAUUCAGAAGAUCAAGUGCAUUGCCCUGGCAAAGCUAAAAAGAAUAGUGAAAAUAUAACCCGAGUGAAAGAAAUCCUUCUUAGUGCACUCAGUCCUGAGCAGUUUGUUUUAACAUUACUUGAAGCUGAACCUCCUAAUGUGUUGCUGGUGAGUCGCCCCAACAAGCCAUUUACAGAAGUCUCCAUGAUGAUGUCAUUGACAAAACUUGCAGACAAAGAAUUGGUUCACAUGAUUGGUUGGGCCAAGAAAAUUCCUGGCUUCAUAGAGCUCAGUCUGUACGACCAAGUGAGGCUCUUGGAGAGUUGUUGGAUGGAAGUUUUAAUGGUGGGUUUGAUGUGGAGGUCGAUUGAUUAUCCUGGCAAGCUAAUUUUUGCACCAGAUCUUGUAUUAGACAGGGAUGAGGGGAAAUGUGUAGAAGGAAUUCUGGAAAUCUUUGACAUGCUCCUGGCCACAACAUCAAGAUUUCGAGAGCUGAAAUUACAGCACAAGGAGUAUCUGUGUGUCAAGGCUAUGAUUCUUCUCAAUUCCAAUAUGUUUCCAUUAUCAGCUGCUGCAGAAGAAUCUGAAAGCAACAGGAAGCUACAUCACUUGCUUAAUGCAGUAACUGAUGCUUUGGUGUGGGUUAUUGCAAAAAGUGGAAUCCCAUCUCAGCAACAGACAACUCGUUUGGCUAACUUGUUGAUGUUACUUUCUCAUGUCAGGCAUGCAAGUAACAAAGGUAUGGAGCACCUUCUGAGCAUGAAGUGUAAAAAUGUGGUCCCAGUCUAUGACUUGCUGCUGGAAAUGCUGAAUGCACACACGCUUCGAGGUCAAAGAAAGUCUGCAGUCACAGAUUCUGAAUUUGGCCCAUCAGAACAAACUGAUACUAGAGAUGAUAUGCGGAAUAUGGCAGAACAGUAACUUUAUAAUUACCUGGAAGAUCAGGCAAUUUCACAAUCUUCUCUUCACUUCCAUCUUGAGUACAGAGGUGUCUAGCAGUAUUGUCAGCCAACAGCCCAGCCCUAGGAAGUAACCCUACAGUGAAAAAUCAGAGGCCAGACUUCAGUAUCAAGCUACGAAAGGGUUAUUGUAAUCAACUGAGAGUAAAAAUAAUUUUGAAGAAGUCUGAAAGAUAGCUUGGUAAGGUUCUUUUCCAACUUAUUUUUUUGGGACAUUUUGAGAUAUGGUAAAAGCUCCUUGUAUAUUCUAUAUCACAUCACCUUGGAAAUUUGAUAAAUUGUACGUAAUGAAGGUAAAUUGUAGACUGAAAUUUUCCUUU